CACGAACGCUGGCGGCGUGCCUAAUACAUGCAAGUCGAGCGCAGGAAACUGACGGAACUCUUCGGAGGGAAGGCAGUGGAAUGAGCGGCGGACGGGUGAGUAACACGUAAGGAACCUGCCUCAAGGAUUGGGAUAACUCCGAGAAAUCGGAGCUAAUACCGGAUAGUUCAACGGACCGCAUGGUCCGCUGAUGAAAGGCGCUCCGGCGUCACCUUGAGAUGGCCUUGCGGUGCAUUAGCUAGUUGGUGGGGUAACGGCCCACCAAGGCGACGAUGCAUAGCCGACCUGAGAGGGUGAUCGGCCGCACUGGGACUGAGACACGGCCCAGACUCCUACGGGAGGCAGCAGUAGGGAAUCUUCCACAAUGGACGAAAGUCUGAUGGAGCAACGCCGCGUGAGUGAUGAAGGUUUUCGGAUCGUAAAACUCUGUUGUAAGGGGAGAACACGUACGAGAGGGGAUGCUCGUACCUUGACGGUACCUUACGAGAAAGCCACGGCUAACUACGUGCCAGCAGCCGCCGUAACAC
rnacentral:rRNA from 1 species